rnacentral:rRNA from 1 species
GUUUGAUCCUGGCUCAGAUUGAACGCUGGCGGCAUGCCUUACACAUGCAAGUCGAACGGCAGCGCGUCCUUCGGGAUGGCGGCGAGUGGCGAACGGGUGAGUAAAGCAUCGGAACGUGCCCGGUAGUGCGGGAUAGCUCGGCGAAAGCCGGAUUAAUACCGCAUGAGAUCCGUGGAUGAAAGCAGGGGACCCCUUGUGGGCCUUGCGCUACUGGAGCGGCCGAUGUCAGAUUAGGUAGUUGGUGGGGUAAAGGCCCACCAAGCCUGCGAUCUGUAGCUGGUCUGAGAGGAUGAUCAGCCACAUCGGGACUGAGACACGGCCCGAACUCCUACGGGAGGCAGCAGUGGGGAAUUUUGGACAAUGGGCGCAAGCCUGAUCCAGCCAUGCCGCGUGCAGGAUGAAGGCCCUCGGGUUGUAAACUGCUUUUGUACGGAACGAAAAGCCUCUUUCUAAUAAAGAGGGGUGAUGACGGUACCGUAAGAAUAAGCACCGGCUAACUACGUGCCAGCAGCCGCGGUAAUACGUAGGGUGCGAGCGUUAAUCGGAAUUACUGGGCGUAAAGCGUGCGCAGGCGGUCUUGCAAGACAGUGGUGAAAUCCCCGGGCUCAACCUGGGAACGGCCAUUGUGACUGCAAGGCUGGAGUACGGCAGAGGAGGGUGGAAUUCCGCGUGUAGCAGUGAAAUGCGUAGAUAUGCGGAGGAACACCGAUGGCGAAGGCAGCCCCCUGGGCCUGUACUACGCU